AACCCUCAUCAUUAGUUACCAUCAGGUAAGGCUGGGGACUCUAAUGAGACUGCCAUCGUAAGAUGUGAGGGAAGGUGGGGAUGACGUCAAAUCAGCACGGCCCUUACGUCCGGGGCGACACACGUGUUACAAUGGGUGGUACAAAGGGCAGCUACCUGGCGACAGGAUGCUAAUCUCGAAAACCGCUCUCAGUUCGGAUCGGAGUCUGCAACUCGACUCCGUGAAGCUGGAUUCGCUAGUAAUCGCGCAUCAGCCACGGCGCGGUGAAUACGUUCCCGGGCCUU
rnacentral:rRNA from 1 species